GAGCGAUCGCAAUGUUCAAUACUCCGAGCAUGUAGACAUUGUGCCGGGUGGGAGAAGAGACAAUAAAAUCCACGAUCCAGAAAAAAAAAAAAUACUGACACACGGAUUAAACACUAAAGGUUUGUGCUCCUUCCCAGCCUCGAUGUGGGGUGUGGAUUGUGCGUGCAAGUCUGAAAGUUCUCCGGGAUGUGAGCUCUUGUGUAGGAUGAGCUAAGCGGAGUAGUGCACGCCGGGAUUCUUCAAGGUUUGGAGCGCAGCUGCUGCCUUCAGCCACUGACGGGAGGACCUUGCGCACGAGGAGGAGAGCUGCCUCCUUUUCUCUCUCUCUCUUUCUCUCUCUCUUUCCUUUCUCAGUCUCACAGAGACAGGCAGCAUCCCUCAGCCCCGGCACUGAAAACAGAAGACAUUCAAGGGGAGAAAAAAUAAUAAUGGAGAAGAAAAGAACGGGAUUAUAAAAGCAGGGAGUAAUCAAGGGAAAUCUGAAGCAAGGACAAAUAGAGUUGAAAAUAGAUUUUCAUCUCAGGCUCUUGUGUUUGUUGUUUUGGGUCUUUGAGAUUUGGGUCGUGCAUUGCUUUUCUUCAGCCAGCCUGUGGAGUAUAGGAUCACAAAUAGCAUUUUAAGGCCAUGGACAUUGCCUCUUCUCCUGCCUCUAGGCUGACCAUGACAAACUGUUCUGUUUUUAUGUGAUCCUGCUGUGAAUUCUGCUGUUGCAGCGGGCUUCUUCGAGCAAAAAUUCAUCCCACACAUUGGUAUCUGUAUUCAGAAGGCCUGACAGAUUCAAGAAACAAACCCUAACGAGAAAGCUCUUUAGUAGAACAAAAACAUGGCCAAGGGGAAGAUCUCUUCUCCAUGUGGUGAGCACCUGCCUGUUAUUUCCUGAUAUUUUAUGGUGGCACGCCAUAUUGUUUAGUUCAGAUAAAUGGGAUAAAUAUGCAAAAUGUAUUCGGAAAACAUCAAACUUCAACAACAAACAAACUAAUCAAUCUAUAUUUAACCACAUUUCCAUUUCACUAAGCUUUUAAGGUCUCUCUGCAGACGGCUGUUCAAAGAUGUAUAUUCACUGUCUAACCCCUUCACACACAUGCAUAAAUAUACUGACGUAUGCAUACUCAUUACUGUAUGACAC
ensembl:lncRNA